rnacentral:rRNA from 1 species
GACGGAGGAUGCAAGCGUUAAUCGGAAUUACUGGGCGUAAAGCGUGCGCAGGCGGUUGUGCAAGACCGAUGUGAAAUCCCCGGGCUUAACCUGGGAAUGGCAUUGGUGACUGCACGGCUAGAGUGUGUCAGAGGGGGGUAGAAUUCCACGUGUAGCAGUGAAAUGCGUAGAGAUGUGGAGGAAUACCGAUGGCGAAGGCAGCCCCCUGGGAUAACACUGACGCUCAUGCACGAAAGCGUGGGGAGCAAACAGG